rnacentral:lncRNA from 1 species
AUGAUCCUCCCCUUUACUUCCAGGCCAGGGGAGGCCAGCAGCACAACCUGCAGGGUGACAAUGCUUAGGAUUGUGGUUACCAAACCUGAGGUGAUCUUCAAGUUGGAGCAGAGAACACAGCCAUGGAUGCUAGGAGAAGCCCUAAAUCAGAGACUUCCAGUUCUUUUUCAGAACACGUAUGGAGAGGAGUCUUGGGGACUAAGUCUAAACAUGAACAAGGCCAUGGACAGCCUUCAAGGACAAAAAGAGAGGGAUGCUCCCUAGCUACACAUGAACUUUCUCUGAAUCUUGGCUUUAUAAUUUUAAUUAAAAUAUACUAAUGGAGACAAGUUUGAAUAAAAAUGAUUCAUAUAUAAUCUGUAUUUGUAUC